rnacentral:lncRNA from 1 species
GUCCUCGCGCGGUUCAGCUCCUGGGCGACAGCGUAACCCGUCGCUCCUCCCUCUGCGGGAGGGCGUGGACGGGGCACGGGAUUUGGAGCAUGGAAGGAAUCGGGACCUAAAGGUUCUACUGACCCAAGGAAAGGACUGUUUGAAGAUGAAGAAGUUGUAUGUCAGUACACGGGUGGGGAGGAUCCUGUAGACAGGAAAAACCGAAGUUGUAGCAGAGCGAUAGGGAAAGUUUCUGGAGUCAUGUUCUUCAGAAGGUGAGCGAGAGGGUCAAGUUCACAAACAGAGGAAUUGCCUUACACAGGGGCAGGGACAGUUCCCGAAUAAUAAUUGGGAGAGAAGGCAGAGUGAGCGGGCAUGGGUCGAGGGAGCUGGGGAGCUGUGGGAUAUCUCUUUGUUGCUUCUGUUGUCCAGUGGUAUAAGAAACAAGAACAUGUGUUGUCAAACUCUUCGUGGGAAUAAAAAAUCAAGAUCACUCUCUAAGAGUGAGGAUGAAGAAGAAACUAGGAAUUUGAGGAGCAAAAAGAUAGGAAAUAGGCAUUCAGGAGAGAGGAAUGGACUAGGAGGGGAGAUCAAGAGACUGAGAGGCCAGUGGCCUGGAAGAUUCAUUUACCUGGAUAUUUAAAUCAGCAGGAAUGGGCCGGGUGCAGUGGCUCACUCCUGUAAUCCCAGCAUUUUGGGAGGCCAAGGCUGGUGGAUCACCUGAGAUCAGGAGUUCAAGACCAGCCUGACCAACAUGGAGAAAUUCUGUCUCUACUAAAAAUACCAAAAUUAGCCAGGCUUAGUGGUGCAUGCCUGUAAUCCCAGCUACUCGGGAGGCUGAGGUAGGAGAAUCGCUUGAACCCGGGAGGCAGAGGUUGUGGUGAGCCAAGAUUGUGCCAUUGCACUGCAGCCUGGGCAACAAGAGUGACACUCCGAU